rnacentral:rRNA from 1 species
UACGUAGGGUGCAAGCGUUGUCCGGAAUUAUUGGGCGUAAAGAGCUCGUAGGCGGUGUGUCACGUCGGCCGUGAAAACCUGCAGCUUAACUGUGGGCGUGCGGUCGAUACGGGCAUCACUGGAGUUCGGCAGGGGAGACUGGAAUUCCUGGUGUAGCGGUGAAAUGCGCAGAUAUCAGGAGGAACACCGGUGGCGAAGGCGACUACCUGGCCUGUUCUUGACGCUGAGGCGCGAAAGCUAGGGGAGCAAACGGG